rnacentral:miRNA from 1 species
UGAGCUUCCAAUUUGGUUGGA